rnacentral:rRNA from 1 species
CUGGCGGCAGGCCUAACACAUGCAAGUCGAGCGGUAACAGAGGGUAGCUUGCUACUUUGCUGACGAGCGGCGGACGGGUGAGUAAGGCUUGGGUAUCUGCCCAGUCGUGGGGGAUAACCAUUGGAAACGAUGGCUAAUACCGCAUACGCCCUACGGGGGAAAGGAGGGGAUCUUCGGACCUUUCGCGAUUGGAUGAGCCCAAGUGAGAUUAGCUAGUUGGUGAGGUAAUGGCUCACCAAGGCGACGAUCUCUAGCUGGUCUGAGAGGAUGACCAGCCACACUGGGACUGAGACACGGCCCAGACUCCUACGGGAGGCAGCAGUGGGGAAUAUUGCACAAUGGGGGAAACCCUGAUGCAGCCAUGCCGCGUGUGUGAAGAAGGCCUUCGGGUUGUAAAGCACUUUCAGUGGUGAGGAAAGGUGAGCGAUUAAUACUCGCUUGCUGUGACGUUAACCACAGAAGAAGCACCGGCUAACUCCGUGCCAGCAGCCGCGG